rnacentral:rRNA from 1 species
GACAGAGGGGGCAAGCGUUGCUCGGAAUCACUGGGCGUAAAGGGCGCGUAGGCGGGAUGGCAAGUCAGUCGUGAAAUCUCUCGGCUCAACCGAGAAACGUCGGCUGAUACUGCCGUUCUUGAGGGAUGCAGAGGAGACUGGAAUUCCCGGUGUAGCGGUGAAAUGUGUAGAGAUCGGGAGGAACACCGGUGGCGAAGGCGGCUCUCUGGGCCUUUCCUGACGCUGAGACGCGAAAGCGUGGGGAGCGAACCGG